CACGUAGGGUGCGAGCGUUGUCCGGAAUUAUUGGGCGUAAAGGGCGCGUAGGCGGUUGGAUAAGUCAGCUGUGAAAACCACGGGCUUAACUCGUGGCCUGCAGUUGAGACUGUCUGGCUUGAGUGUGGGAGAGGAGAGUGGAAUUCCUUGUGUAGCGGUGAAAUGCGUAGAUAUCAGGAGGAACACCGGUGGCGAAGGCGGCUCUCUGGACCACAACUGACGCUGAGGCGCGAAAGCUAGGGGAGCAAACAGG
rnacentral:rRNA from 1 species